rnacentral:lncRNA from 1 species
UCUGCUGCAGUCUUACGACAUGCUACUACCCACCUACAGCCCCCCACAUCACUUUGAUUCUCUCUAGGAGUUAGUUACCAUCCCCUUCCACUUACAUCACUGACCGAUCAAGGCCUCCUUUCCAACUCCUAUGGCUUUUAGGUAGAAUUUGCCGACACCUAUAGCUUGAUCCUUAUCUUUGAGUCAGUAUCAUCCAUCAUGGUUAAUAUAGUUGAUCCAAAUUCUAUCCUUCGACUUAGCUAGACCUACUUCUUCAAAGGUCCAGC